UACCAGCACCCCGAGUGGUCGGGACGUUUAUUGGGCCUAAAGCAUCCGUAGCCGGUCCUACAAGUCUUCCGUUAAAUCCACCUGCUUAACAGAUGGGCUGCGGAAGAUACUAUAGAGCUAGGAGGCGGGAGAGGCAAGCGGUACUCAGUGGGUAGGGGUAAAAUCCGUUGAUCCAUUGAAGACCACCAGUGGCGAAGGCGGCUUGCCAGAAUGCGCUCGACGGUGAGGGAUGAAAGCUGGGGGAGCAAACCGG
rnacentral:rRNA from 1 species